rnacentral:rRNA from 1 species
AGAACGAACGCUGGCGGCGUGGAUAAGACAUGCAAGUCGAACGGAUUUGUCGGUGUAGCAAUACAUCGGCAGGUCAGUGGCGCAAGGGUGCGUAACACGUGGGCAACCUGCCCUGGAGUUUGGGAUAGCCCGCCGAAAGGCGGAUUAAUACCGGAUGUGGCUACCUGCCGAUUGGUGGGGACGCUAAAGGUGGCGCAAGCUGCCGCUCCUGGAUGGGCCCGCGGCCUAUCAGCUAGUUGGUGAGGUAACGGCCCACCAAGGCUAUGACGGGUAG